GACGGGGCCCGCACAAGCGGAGGAACAUGUGGUUAAUUCGAUGAUACGCGAGGAACCUUACCUGGGCUUAAAUGUAGAGUGCAUUUUUUAGAGAUAGAAAUUCCCUUCGGGGCUUUCUGCAAGGUGCUGCAUGGUUGUCGUCAGCUCGUGCCGUGAGGUGUCGGGUUAAGUCCCAUAACGAGCGCAACCCUUAUCGUUAGUUGCCAUCUGGUAAUGCAGGGGACUCUAGCGAAACUGCCACCGUAAGGUGAGAGGAAGGUGGGGAUGACGUCAAAUCAGCACGGCCCUUAUGUCCAGGGCUACACACGUGUUACAAUGGUCGGUACAGAGGGCAGCUACCUGGUGACAGGAUGCUAAUCUCGAAAACCGGUCUCAGUUCGGAUCGAAGUCUGCAACUCGACUUCGUGAAGCUGGAUUCGCUAGUAAUCGCGCAUCAGCUAUGGCGCGGUGAAUACGUUCCCGGGCCUU
rnacentral:rRNA from 1 species